rnacentral:rRNA from 1 species
AACUUAGAAAUAGGUGCUAAUACCGCAUAAGCGCACAGCUUCGCAUGAAGUGGUGUGAAAAACUCCGGUGGUAUACGAUGGUUCCGCGUCUGAUUAGCUUGUUGGCGGGGUAGGGGCCCACCAAGGCGACGAUCAGUAGCCGGCCUGAGAGGGUGGACGGCCACAUUGGGACUGAGACACGGCCCAAACUCCUACGGGAGGCAGCAG